rnacentral:rRNA from 1 species
AGUUUUAAGUGAAGAGUUUGAUCCUGGCUCAGAGUGAACGCUGGCGGUAGGCCUAACACAUGCAAGUCGAACGGCAGCACAGAGGAGCUUGCUCCUUGGGUGGCGAGUGGCGGACGGGUGAGGAAUACAUCGGAAUCUACUCUGUCGUGGGGGAUAACGUAGGGAAACUUACGCUAAUACCGCAUACGACCUACGGGUGAAAGCAGGGGA